rnacentral:rRNA from 1 species
AACCAACAGGGAUUGCCCUAGUAACGGCGAGUGAAGCGGCAACAGCUCAAAUUUGAAAUCUGGCUCUUUUAGGGUCCGAGUUGUAAUUUGCAGAGGGCGCUUUGGCGUUGGCAGCGGUCCAAGUUCUUUGGAACAGGACGUCACAGAGGGUGAGAAUCCCGUACGUGGUCGCUAGCCUUCGCCGUGUAAAGCCCCUUCGACGAGUCGAGUUGUUUGGGAAUGCAGCUCUAAAUGGGAGGUAAAUUUCUUCUAAAGCUAAAUACUGGCCAGAGACCGAUAGCGCACAAGUAGAGUGAUCGAAAGAUGAAAAGCACUUUGGAAAGAGAGUCAAAUAGCACGUGAAAUUGUUGAAAGGGAAGCGCUUGCAGCCAGACUUGCCUGUAGUUGCUUAUCCGGACUUUUGUCCGGUGCACUCUUCUGCGGGCAGGCCAGCAUCAGUUUAGGCGGUUGGAUAAAGGUCUCUAUCACGUACCUCCCUUCGGGGUUGGCCUUAUAGGGGAGACGACAUGCAACCAGCUUGAACUGAGGUCCGCGCAUCUGCUAGGAUGCUGGCGUAAUGGCUGUAAGCGGCCCGUCUUGAAACACGGACCAAGGAGUCUAACAUCUAUGCGAGUGUUUGGGUGUCAAGCCCAGACGCGUAAUGAAAGUGAACGGAGGUGGGAACCUUUUAGGUGCACCAUCGACCGAUCCUGAUGUCUUCGGAUGGAUUUGAGUAAGAGCAUGGCUGUUGGGACCCGAAAGAUGGUGAACUAUGCUUGAAUAGGGUGAAGCCAGAGGAAACUCUGGUGGAGGCUCGCAGCGGUUCUGACGUGCAAAUCGAUCGUCAAAUUUGGGCAUAGGGGCGAAA